rnacentral:rRNA from 1 species
GACGGAGGGUGCUAGCGUUGUUCGGAAUCACUGGGCGUAAAGGGCGCGUAGGCGGCCUUGCAAGUCGGUUGGUGAAAGCCCGGGGCUCAACCCCGGAGGUGCGGCCGAGACUGCAGGGCUGGAGGCCGGAAGAGGAGGGUGGAAUACCCAGUGUAGAGGUGAAAUUCGUAGAUAUUGGGAAGAACACCGGUGGCGAAGGCGGCUAUCUGGACCGACAUUGACGCUGAGGCGCGAAAGCGUGGGGAGCAAACAGG